AUGAGAGUCUGACGCUGAAGCCUGGUGCUUGCACCGGGUGGAUGAGUGGCGAACGGGUGAGUAACACGUGAGUAACCUGCCCCUGACUUCGGGAUAAGCCCGGGAAACUGGGUCUAAUACCGGAUACGACUGCCGGACGCAUGUCUGGUGGUGGAAAGUUUUUUCGGUUGGGGAUGGGCUCGCGGCCUAUCAGUUUGUUGGUGAGGUAAUGGCUCACCAAGACGACGACGGGUAGCCGGCCUGAGAGGGCGACCGGCCACACUGGGACUGAGACACGGCCCAGACUCCUACGGGAGGCAGCAGUGGGGAAUAUUGCACAAUGGGGGAAACCCUGAUGCAGCGACGCAGCGUGCGGGAUGACGGCCUUCGGGUUGUAAACCGCUUUCAGCAGGGAAGAAGCGAAAGUGACGGUACCUGCAGAAGAAGUACCGGCUAACUACGUGCCAGCAGCCGCGGUAAUACGUAGGGUACGAGCGUUGUCCGGAAUUAUUGGGCGUAAAGAGCUCGUAGGUGGUUGGUCACGUCUGCUGUGGAAACGCAACGCUUAACGUUGCGCGUGCAGUGGGUACGGGCUGACUAGAGUGCAGUAGGGGAGUCUGGAAUUCCUGGUGUAGCGGUGAAAUGCGCAGAUAUCAGGAGGAACACCGGUGGCGAAGGCGGGACUCUGGGCUGUAACUGACACUGAGGAGCGAAAGCAUGGGGAGCGAACAGGAUUAGAUACCCUGGUAGUCCAUGCCGUAAACGUUGGGCACUAGGUGUGGGGGGCAUUCCACGUUCUCCGCGCCGUAGCUAACGCAUUAAGUGCCCCGCCUGGGGAGUACGGUCGCAAGGCUAAAACUCAAAGGAAUUGACGGGGGCCCGCACAAGCGGCGGAGCAUGCGGAUUAAUUCGAUGCAACGCGAAGAACCUUACCAAGGCUUGACAUACACCAGACCGUCCUGGAAACAGGUCCUCUUCUUUGAAGCUGGUGUACAGGUGGUGCAUGGUUGUCGUCAGCUCGUGUCGUGAGAUGUUGGGUUAAGUCCCGCAACGAGCGCAACCCUCGUUCUAUGUUGCCAGCACGUGAUGGUGGGAACUCAUAGGAGACUGCCGGGGUCAACUCGGAGGAAGGUGGGGAUGACGUCAAAUCAUCAUGCCCUUUAUGUCUUGGGCUUCACGCAUGCUACAAUGGCUGG
rnacentral:rRNA from 1 species